rnacentral:lncRNA from 1 species
GUGGUUUGAUGUGUUCUGAUGUUCACGCACCAAAGCAUGCCCGGGAGGGCAGUGUCCCAGCCUGUAUUUCGUGAGACAUUUGUAGCUAAACAUCACCUUUACUUCAGGAAGUGUCAGACACCAAGCCCCAGCACUGCAAAAAUACAGGUGGUCAUUCUCCAGUCAAGACUGCAAGGAGGGCCGUGGGGCCUGUCGGAUGUCCAUCCUGAGCACAGUUGUUACACCGAGGCAGUUAAACGAUAUCACCAGCAGCCCACCCCACUGCCUUUGUCUUUUCUGGUUGAGAGCAAUGGCUGCUGGGUGCAGCAAGCUGGAGGAGACACCUGAGUGAAGGGACACGAUGGCAGAGAAAAGAAGCAGCGAAGCCCUUUCUGUGCAUGAAGAUGAGAAACAGACCCUGCAACCUCUUCUGUGGUCAUUGUAGAAACACACAAAGUUUGACAUUUUACUCUGAUCCAGUUGGCCCUACCAAUACAAUACUGAGGGAAAAAAAAGAGAAGCAGAAAGGGGCCUACAGAUAGGACCUGGUUCUGUGAAGGCAUGCCAUGCAUUGAGUGAUUGCAUAUUCUCAUUUGAUGAGCACAAUGAGAAUUCUUUUUCUGAUGCCAACAGCGUGCGUUUCAGUGAGCCUUUGCCUCUAAAAGUCCUUGAGCAGCUGCUGCAUUCACAAGCUAAAGAAUGGGGAUGGCUUGUUCCUACUGCUCAGUAAUGGCUAUGCCAAACCAGACCCUGCUUUGUUCCAGUAACCCUUCCUACUCUGUACCACAUGAAAAGGCUUGGAGAGCAUAUAUUUGAUACUCAGAGGUCUGGUAUGGCAGGGCCCACGACCGCAGUCACAAUGGAGAGAAAUUUGGGCUGAUGGACUGCUGCUGGAGCUGGUCAUCAUAGCUAUUUUCCUGCCCUUUCUCAGGACACAGCAGUUCGGUUGAAAAUACUUCAAAAUAGAGAUCUCUUAUUAAAACAAAGAAAACCAAAAAAACCCACAAAAGCAACAACAACAAAAAACCUAGUAGAAAGCUUUUGUUGUAUC